AAGGGGAGAAAAAAAGGAGAGAAAAGGGAAAGAAGCGCUAGUUCUUAAAAAUGAGACUUUAUGUCCCAGAGAGAAGUUAAAUGAUAAGAGAGUAGAUUUUUAAGAACUAGCGCUUCUUUCCCUUUUCUCUCCUUUUUUUCUCCCCUUCC